rnacentral:rRNA from 1 species
AUCGUUAUCGUUUAUUUGAUAGUACCUUACUACAUGGAUACCUGUGGUAAUUCUAGAGCUAAUACAUGCUAAAAACCCCGACUUCAGGAAGGGGUGUAUUUAUUAGAUAAAAAACCAACGCCCUUCGGGGCUCCUUGGUGAAUCAUAAUAACUUAACGAAUCGCAUGGCCUUGCGCCGGCGAUGGUUCAUUCAAAUUUCUGCCCUAUCAACUUUCGAUGGUAGGAUAGUGGCCUACCAUGGUGGCAACGGGUAACGGGGAAUUAGGGUUCGAUUCCGGAGAGGGAGCCUGAGAAACGGCUACCACAUCCAAGGAAGGCAGCAGGCGCGCAAAUUACCCAAUCCCGAUACGGGGAGGUAGUGACAAUAAAUACUGAUACGGGGCUCUUUUGGGUCUCGUAAUUGGAAUGAGAACAAUUUAAAUCCCUUAACGAGGAACAAUUGGAGGGCAAGUCUGGUGCCAGCAGCCGCGGUAAUUCCAGCUCCAAUAGCGUAUAUUAAAGUUGUUGCAGUUAAAAAGCUCGUAGUUGAACCUUGGGUCUGGCUGGCCGGUCCGCCUCACCGCGAGUACUGGUCCGGCUGGACCUUUCCUUCUGGGGAACCUCAUGGCCUUCACUGGCUGUGGGGGGAACCAGGACUUUUACUGUGAAAAAAUUAGAGUGUUCAAAGCAGGCCUUUGCUCGAAUACAUUAGCAUGGAAUAAUAGAAUAGGACGUGUGGUUCUAUUUUGUUGGUUUCUAGGACCGCCGUAAUGAUUAAUAGGGAUAGUCGGGGGCGUCAGUAUUCAGCUGUCAGAGGUGAAAUUCUUGGAUUUGCUGAAGACUAACUACUGCGAAAGCAUUCGCCAAGGAUGUUUUCAUUAAUCAGGGAACGA